rnacentral:rRNA from 1 species
AGGUCUUGACAUCCCGAUGCAUUCUAGAGAUGAAGUUACUUCGGUUACAUCGGUGACAGGUGGUGUCAUGGUUGUCGUCAGCUCGUGUCGUGAGAUGUUGGUUAAGUCCCGCAACGAGCGCAACCCCUAUUGUUAGUUGCCAUCAUUCAGUUGGGCACUCUAGCGAGACUGCCGGUAAUAAACCGGAGGAAGGUGGGGAUGACGUCAAAUCAUCAUGCCCCUUAUGACCUGGGCUACACACGUGCUACAAUGGUUGGUACAACGAGUUGCGAGUCGGUGACGGCGAGCUAAUCUCUUAAAGCCAAUCUCAGUUCGGAUUGUAGGCUGCAACUCGACUCCAUGAAGCCGGAAUCGCUAGUAAUCGCGGAUCAGCAUGCCGCAGUGAAUACGUUCCCGGGCCCU